GACGAACGCUGGCGGCGUGCCUAAUACAUGCAAGUAGAACGCUGAAGGAGGAGCUUGCUUCUCUGGAUGAGUUGCGAACGGGUGAGUAACGCGUAGGUAACCUGCCUGGUAGCGGGGGAUAACUAUUGGAAACGAUAGCUAAUACCGCAUAAGAGUAGAUGUUGCAUGACAUUUGCUUAAAAGGUGCAAUUGCAUCACUACCAGAUGGACCUGCGUUGUAUUAGCUAGUUGGUGGGGUAACGGCUCACCAAGGCGACGAUACAUAGCCGACCUGAGAGGGUGAUCGGCCACACUGGGACUGAGACACGGCCCAGACUCCUACGGGAGGCAGCAGUAGGGAAUCUUCGGCAAUGGACGGAAGUCUGACCGAGCAACACCGCGUGAGUGAAGAAGGUUUUCGGAUCGUAAAGCUCUGUUGUAAGAGAAGAACGAGUGUGAGAGUGGAAAGUUCACACUGUGACGGUAGCUUACCAGAAAGGGACGGCUAACUACGUG
rnacentral:rRNA from 1 species